UACGGAGGGUGCGAGCGUUGUCCGGAAUCACUGGGCGUAAAGGGCGCGUAGGCGGCCUGAUAAGUAGGGGGUGAAAUCCUGCGGCUUAACCGCAGGGCUGCCUUCUAAACUGUCGGGCUAGAGCACGGUAGGAGGCAGAUGGAAUUCCCGGUGUAGCGGUGGAAUGCGUAGAGAUCGGGAAGAACAUCAGUGGCGAAGGCGGU
rnacentral:rRNA from 1 species